rnacentral:lncRNA from 1 species
UUUCCUCAUAUUGCUAUACUGUAGCCACCCCCUGGCGAAACCAACACGGCAUCUGAUAGCUACCCAUUACAUGAGGGCAGGAAAAAUAAGAGUGACUGGGUGUAAAGAGCAAAGGCUGAUGUCCUGAAGGUCCAGGUGGACAUAGAGGAGCUCACAGCCUCUGGCCACAUUGCCCUAAAGCAAGGGGACUGUGAAGAAGCCCUCAGCCUCUUCAAAAAGGCCUUCAAAGCUUCCAUAGAGCUAAAGGAGACCAGGGUCUAGCGGGCAUGUGCCUUUAACCUGGGAGCUGCCUACGUGGAGGCGGGUAAAGCCCUGAAGGGACUGGACUUCCUAAAGCGGGCCCAGCCAGAAGAGAGGGGCGAGCGGAUAGCAGACCUCCAGUUCAACCUGGCCGUAGCCCAUGAGCCCCUGGGGAACCACAGCCAGGCAGCUGUUCACUGCCUCCAGGCAGCCCAGCUGUACUGCUCCCAGGGGGACGGGGCCAGUGAGGGGGAGACCUGCAUGAAAAUGUCCCACUGUCACCUGCUCCUAAAGGACUGGACCCAGGCAGCUUAGAGCUUCCAGAGGGCUGGGGAGAGCUACAGGAUGGCAGGCAAGCUGGACUCAGCCGACAACGGCCUUCAAAUAGGCAGGGAGUCACAUGCUCCAAUCAGAUGACUUCACCAUGGAUGAUAUCAUCACCGUGCUCACUGAUUGCCUCGAGCUGAGCAACAACAUCAAAAACCCAGAGUUCCUCGGUAGGUAAACUGUCAGAUUAACUGAAUUGAGGAAAAAACAAAUGAGUAACAGCGUUGUCAGUCACAGUUUUGUGACUUUAUCCCUCAGCCUUUCAGGUAAGGUGUACAAUGACCUGGGCCUGGGUUUCUCCCAGCUGAAGUUGUUCCAGGAGGCCCAAAAGGCUGGCCGUGGUCCUACAGAACCUGGGAGCCGUUCACAACACACUGAGCCAGUACCGGCAGGCCCUGGACUACCACCGAUAGACAGCCAGCCUGCAUGGUGAGCUUAUUACAUCACUUACGCUGGAGAGUAUAGUUAUACUGUAUUUUCUGCAAAGUUCAGUGCUGUUAUGUACUGCAUGUAAUAAUGAUAUACCAUUUAGCAUGCGCUAUUCUCCAAAGUACUCUGCGUGCAUAUUGUUUUUGUAUGAGUGGUGCAAGCACUCUACCAACUGAGCCACAGAGAAUCGUGUGUGUGAGGAACAUGUUACCUGAGGCGUGUAGGAGUAAUUGUUUAGGCAGAGGGGCAGACCAUUCCUCAAACAUUUCAUUAUACCCUGAUUAAUCCUUUACAGUAUCUGGGUGUGUCCAGUGCUCUCCAUGCCUCUAAUCUGUCUCUGUGAGCAGCUCUCACAUUAGCAAGAGAGGUGUGUGUAUGUGUGUGCUCGCGCGCAGGGGUGUGUGUGGCUGAGAUUCCACUGAGGCAAUCCCAUAGGGACUUACAGAGUGCUUACCACAGCACCACUGAGUGACUCACACACUGGUAUGUCUUGUGUGUAUGUGCAUGUAACGGUUCUAAGACAUGUUUUUUUCGGCAGCCCACAUGCUGUUGGGGAUGUGAACGUGACAUAGCUACUUAUGCUUUUUUUUUAAGUGAGUGAAAAAGUGAUGACGCUGUAAAUAUUG